GGAAAGUCAGAGAAGGAGAAAGAGUAGAGCCAGGAUACAUUCUCAGGUAAGGUCUUGUCCUCCUGACUCUUAGGGGUCUGGGGAGGAAUAAACUUAGCCCCAGCCAGGCAGCUUCUGCAGUCAGCUCAACAAAGAAGGUGACAGCUGGGAGCUGUCAGCAGCCAAAAGUCUCAGGUGCACUGGCCCCAGAAAGGGCAUCUGGGUGGGGCCUCAACAUGGACAGUUACAGGCAGAUAAGAGUCAGAAGGGCCAGCAUCAGAUCCACGUUCCCCUGACAUCACUUUGGUCUAUCUGUGACCUCUGAAAGGACAUUCUUGUGAACAAAGGUGAGCUAACAGGUUCCUUGCAGAACCUCAGUGUGAAACCACAUGCAUGGGCAGGGGUCCACAUGGGGUGGAUCCACCCCUCUUAGUCUUGUCCUGUGGUGGUCCUGAGCCAUGUCUCCCCCAUCUCGUUUGUACAUCAGUGACAGGAGCAAAAGAGAGAGACGCCCAGGACUUGUAGGAGCUGCAGGAGGACCCUUUCCCUUCCGCAUGAGGAGAGGCAUGAGGGUGUGAAAUCUGACCAGCUAGAGUGAUUUUGUAACCACCAGAUAAGAAACUGCAGCUGCUGAGGGGCCAUUCUGAGCAGUCCAGGAAUGAAGUCAACACCACAAAAGGCAGACGAGCGAGAUGGUGAGAAACCAGGUCCUGGGGUAUCCUUUGAGGCACUGGACCAAGUCUGACCUGAGGUCUGUCUGACUACUGGACUCUUGUUAUGUGAACGAAUACAUGUUUUUCAUUGUCUAACUGGUUG
rnacentral:lncRNA from 1 species